AGAGCGAACGCUGGCGGCAGGCCUAACACAUGCAAGUCGAGCGCCCCGCAAGGGGAGCGGCAGACGGGAGAGUAACACGUGGGAACGUACCCUUCAGUUCGGAACAACCCAGGGAAACUUGGGCUAAUACCGAAUACGUCCGUAAGGAGAAAGAUUUAUCGCUGAAGGAUCGGCCCGCGUCUGAUUAGCUAGUUGGUGAGGUAACGGCUCACCAAGGCUACGAUCAGUAGCUGGUCUGAGAGGAUGAUCAGCCUCACUGGGACUGAGACACGGCCCAGACUCCUACGGGAGGCAGCAGUGGGGAAUCUUGCGCAAUGCGCGAAAGCGUGACGCAGCAACGCCGCGUGGGGGAAGAAGGCCUUCGGGUUGUAAACCCCUUUCAGUUGGGACGAAGCUUUGCCGGUGAAUAGCCGGUUGGAGUGACGGUACCUUCAGAAGAAGCCCCGGCUAACUACGUGCCAGCAGCCGC
rnacentral:rRNA from 1 species